UACCCCGAGGAAAAGAAAUCAACCGAGAUUCCCCCAGUAGCGGCGAGCGAACGGGGAGGAGCCCAGAGCCUGAAUCAGUGUGUGUGUUAGUGGAAGCGUCUGGAAAGGCGUGCGAUACAGGGUGACAGCCCCGUACACAAAAAUGCACAUAUUGUGAGCUCGAUGAGUAGGGCGGGACACGUGGUAUCCUGUCUGAAUAUGGGGGGACCAUCCUCCAAGGCUAAAUACUCCUGACUGACCGAUAGUGAACCAGUACCGUGAGGGAAAGGCGAAAAGAACCCCGGCGAGGGGAGUGAAAAAGAACCUGAAACCGUGUACGUACAAGCAGUGGGAGCCUCUUAAUGGGGUGACUGCGUACCUUUUGUAUAAUGGGUCAGCGACUUAUAUUCUGUAGCAAGGUUAACCGAAUAGGGGAGCCGAAGGGAAACCGAGUCUUAACUGGGCGUUAAGUUGCAGGGUAUAGACCCGAAACCCGGUGAUCUAGCCAUGGGCAGGUUGAAGGUUGGGUAACACUAACUGGAGGACCGAACCGACUAAUGUUGAAAAAUUAGCGGAUGACUUGUGGCUGGGGGUGAAAGGCCAAUCAAACCGGGAGAUAGCUGGUUCUCCCCGAAAGCUAUUUAGGUAGCGCCUCGUGAAUUCAUCUCCGGGGGUAGAGCACUGUUUCGGCAAGGGGGUCAUCCCGACUUACCAACCCGAUGCAAACUGCGAAUACCGGAGAAUGUUAUCACGGGAGACACACGGCGGGUGCUAACGUCCGUCGUGAAGAGGGAAACAACCCAGACCGCCAGCUAAGGUCCCAAAGUCAUGGUUAAGUGGGAAACGAUGUGGGAAGGCCCAGACAGCCAGGAUGUUGGCUUAGAAGCAGCCAUCAUUUAAAGAAAGCGUAAUAGCUCACUGGUCGAGUCGGCCUGCGCGGAAGAUGUAACGGGGCUAAACCAUGCACCGAAGCUGCGGCAGCGACACUAUGUGUUGUUGGGUAGGGGAGCGUUCUGUAAGCCUGUGAAGGUGGCCUGUGAGGGUUGCUGGAGGUAUCAGAAGUGCGAAUGCUGACAUAAGUAACGAUAAAGCGGGUGAAAAGCCCGCUCGCCGGAAGACCAAGGGUUCCUGUCCAACGUUAAUCGGGGCAGGGUGAGUCGACCCCUAAGGCGAGGCCGAAAGGCGUAGUCGAUGGGAAACAGGUUAAUAUUCCUGUACUUGGUGUUACUGCGAAGGGGGGACGGAGAAGGCUAUGUUGGCCGGGCGACGGUUGUCCCGGUUUAAGCGUGUAGGCUGGUUUUCCAGGCAAAUCCGGAAAACCAAGGCUGAGGCGUGAUGA
rnacentral:rRNA from 1 species